AACAAACGCUGGCGGCGUGCCUAACACAUGCAGGUCGUACGAGAAAGGGUCCUUCGGGGCCUGAGUAAAGUGGCGCACGGGUGAGUAACGCGUGGAUAAUCUGCCCUUCAGUUGGGAAUAACUCAUCGAAAGGUGGGCUAAUACCGAAUAAUGCUGUGAGACCUCGGUUGAUCAGCCAAAGAGAGCCUCUGCUUGCAAGCCCUCGCUGAAGGAUGAGUCCGCGUACCAUUAGCUAGUAGGUAGGGUAAUGGCCUACCAAGGCGACGAUGGUUAGCUGGUCUGAGAGGAUGAUCAGCCACACUGGAACUGGGACACGGUCCAGACUCCUACGGGAGGCAGCAGGGAGGAAUCUUGCGCGAUGGGGGCAACCCUGACGCAGCAACGCCGCGUGAGUGAGGAAGGUCUUCGGAUCGUAAAGCUCUGUCGGAUGGAAAGAACCGCAUAGGGGUAAACAGCCCCUGUGUCUGACGGUACCAUCAAAGGAAGCACCGGCUAACUCCGUGCCAGCCGCCGCGGUAAAAC
rnacentral:rRNA from 1 species